ACGCUCAACACCUACGGAGGCAGCAGUCGGGAAUAUUGCGCAAUGGAGGAAACUCUGACGCAGUGACGCCGCGUAUAGGAAGAAGGUUUUCGGAUUGUAAACUAUUGUCGUUAGGGAAGAAAAAAGACAGUACCUAAGGAGGAAGCUCCGGCUAACUACGUGCCAGCAGCCGUGGUAAUCUGAGCGGGCUGGCAAGGC
rnacentral:rRNA from 1 species